CUGACCCCUUUGCAAUGAAGGCUGACACUAUAGUAGUUUUUGUCUAGCUUCGUCCCUGGCCAUGGCGGCUGCGACCACGACCACAACUCCUGUAUUUUUGUAUUUUGGAGUGUCCCACGUUUUGUGUAAAUAGUCCCAAGUUUUCUUUUUGACUAUGUAAAAUAUUACCAAGUUAAUAUCAGAACCACUAUCCUAUACUGAACCAUACUGCCACAUUCAGCGUAUUUGACAUUGGUAGUUUGCUUACCACAUUCAGGCUACAUUUGAUUUCAUUUAAUCUCUAAAGCCUAGCUUAUUUUUGCUUACAACAGCUUCAGUAUAGACUUGAAUAGAUAUUUUUCCGGUCACUUUUUUAUGCCUGCUUUAAGUACCGCAUUUCUUCUGAAAUUGACUGAAAUUAUGAUAUUACUUACAGAAGGGCACGGUGAUGAAUUCAACGCAAGAUCCUGCUAAUAGCAGAUUGAGUACAUUACACGGCAACUUGAUAAUAAUAUUAUUGUUCACUUCAAUAGCUAGGGACGCGUCAGGUAAUGUGCACGCUUCAGAGGAAAGAGAUGAUGCACAUUACUCCUUUCUGCAAGGUACACAACAUCCUUAAUUCUUAAUGACUUAUCUGAAUGGUGCAUAUUGAUAAUGCUAAGUCCCUUAAUUGUUUUUGUAUUCAGUAAAGAAAGGAUUUGUUCCCAUAACAAGGAUGGAAAGUAUUUGCCAAAAAAAAACAAGGAUGGAAAGUAUAACAGCUUACAAAAACCAACGUGGACAACACAGAUCUGGAACUCGAGUAAAUCAUACUCACAAAUAAGUUUUUGAGAAGGUACGAGUCUAACUAAAUAUGCAUGUCGAUGCUAACUGUACUUCCAUGUGUCAAGCAUCUCAUUGUUAUACUAUUUGCAGAGACUUGGAAACCAGAGAAGAGGAGCGAAGAUCAAGACUAGAAUUUGAAAAAAAAAACAUGAUGGCAAAGUUUACAGAAUUGAGCCAACAGAUGGGAACCCAACAGGUGAUUACAUUCAUAUGCUUGCGACCUUGUAAGAUUUAUGUUGCUUAAUUGCAUUGCUAAAAGUGCACUUCUAUUUUCACGUGCUAACGAAGAGGAUUAACAAAGAAAAUAGUAUCCAAACUUGCAAAAAUACUCUUCUACAUCGAUCUACUCCUAAUAAGACUCCAGUUGCAAGGCCAACUGUUAUUUCUUCAAAUGCUCUCAUACAAGUUGCAACGAGGAAUUCUCGAAUGUUUAAAGCAAUGGAUCCAAAGAACUAGCUGGACUGGACUCUAGAUCAUGGACAGUUUAGUUUGGCACUUAAUUAGGAUGGCUAAAUUACAUCUGAGUUUCAUUUGAUGGAUAUUUGCUAUGAGAAUUAUGAAUUUAUGAAUGUACAUAUUAUAUGUAUGGUUUGGAAUAUUGUAAUUGAAUGCCUGUAUUUUUUUUUACGGUUGCA